rnacentral:misc_RNA from 1 species
GAUGAAGAACGUAGCGAAAUGCGAUAAGUAGUGUGAAUUGCGGAAUUCAGUGAAUCAUCGAAUCUUUGAACGCACAUUGCGCCCCUUGGUAUUCCAUGGGGCAUGCCUGUUCGAGCGUCAUUUGUACCCUCAAGCUUUGCUUGGUGUUGGGUGUUUGUCCCGCGUUGCGCGUGGACUCGCCUUAAAGCGAUUGGCAGCCGGCAUAUUGGCCUUGGAGCGCAGCACAUUUUGCGCUUCUAGUCAUGAAUGUUGGCGUCCAUUAAGCCUAUACAUUUGCUCUUGACCUCGGAUCAGGUAGGGAUACCCGCUGAACUUAAGCAUAUCAAUAAGCGGAGGA